GAUGAACGCUGGCGGCGUGCCUAAUACAUGUAAGUCGAGCGAAUGGAUUAAGAGCUUGCUCUUAUGAAGUUAGCGGCGGACGGGUGAGUAACACGUGGUAACCUGCCCAUAAGACUGGGAUAACUCCGGGAAACCGGGGCUAAUACCGGAUAACAUUUUGAACCGCAUGGUUCGAAAUUGAAAGGCGGCUUCGGCUGUCACUUAUGGAUGGACUGGCGUCGGAUUAGCUAGUUGGUGAGGUAACGGCUCACCAAGGCAACGAUGCGUAGCCGACCUGAGAGGGUGCUCGGCCACACUGGGACUGAGACACGGCCCAGACUCCUACGGGAGGCAGCAGUAGGGAAUCUUCCGCAAUGGACGAAAGUCUGACGGAGCAACGCCGCGUGAGUGAUGAAGGCUUUCGGGUCGUAAAACUCUGUUGUUAGGGAAGAACAAGUGCUAGUUGAAUAAGCUGACACCUUGACGGUACCUAACCAGAAAGCCACGGCUAACUACGUGCCAGCAGCCGCCGUAA
rnacentral:rRNA from 1 species